AUAUAAACUCUAAGAGAAAUCAGUUA
rnacentral:rRNA from 1 species